GACGAACGCUGGCGGCGUGCUUAACACAUGCAAGUCGAACGGAAAGGCCCUGCUUUUGUUGGUUUCUCGUUAGGCGAACGGGUGUGUAACACAUGUGUAACCUGCCCUUGUCUUUCGGAUAACUUCUGGAGACUGGGGAGCAUACCGGGUAGGAGCUCCUGCUGCAUGGUGGGGGUUGGAAAGUUUCGGCGGUUGGGGAUGGUCUCGCGGGUUAUCAGCUUGUUGGUGGGGUAGUGGCUUACCAAGGGUUUGACGGAUAGCCGGCCUGAGAGGGUGACCGGCCACAUUGGGACUGAGAGACGGACCAGACGCCUACGGGAGGCAGUAGUGGGGAAUAUGGCACAAUGGGCGGAAGCCUGAUGCAGCAACGCCGCGUGCGGGAUGACGGCCUUCGGGUUGUAAACCGCUUUCGCCUGUGACGAAGCGUGAGUGACGGUAAUGGGUAAAGAAGCACCGGCUAACUACGUG
rnacentral:rRNA from 1 species